UACGGAGGGUGCAAGCGUUAAUCGGAAUUACUGGGCGUAAAGCGCGCGUAGGUGGUCAAGUAAGCGUACUGUGAAAGCCCCGGGCUCAACCUGGGAACUGCAGGACGAACUGCUUGACUAGAGUAUAGUAGAGGAGUGUGGAAUUCCCGGUGUAGCGGUGAAAUGCGUAGAUAUCGGGAGGAACAUCAGUGGCGAAGGCGGCACUCUGGACUGAUACUGACACUGAGGUGCGAAAGCGUGGGUAGCGAACAGGAUUAGAUACCCUGGUAGUCCACGCCGUAAACGAUGUCUGCUAGCCGUUGGGGGACUUGAUCCCUCAGUGGCGAAGUUAACGCGAUAAGCAGACCGCCUGGGGAGUACGGCCGCAAGGUUAAA
rnacentral:rRNA from 1 species